rnacentral:rRNA from 1 species
AGUGAACGCUGGCGGUAGGCCUAACACAUGCAAGUCGAACGGCAGCACAGUAAGAGCUUGCUCUUACGGGUGGCGAGUGGCGGACGGGUGAGGAAUACAUCGGAAUCUACUUUUUCGUGGGGGAUAACGUAGGGAAACUUACGCUAAUACCGCAUACGACCUACGGGUGAAAGCAGGGGAUCUUCGGACCUUGCGCGAUUGAAUGAGCCGAUGUCGGAUUAGCUAGUUGGCGGGGUAAAGGCCCACCAAGGCGACGAUCCGUAGCUGGUCUGAGAGGAUGAUCAGCCACACUGGAACUGAGACACGGUCCAGACUCCUACGGGAGGCAGCAGUGGGGAAUAUUGGACAAUGGGCGAAAGCCUGAUCCAGCCAUAUCGCGUGGGUGAAGAAGGCCUUCGGGUUGUAAAGCCCUUUUGUUGGGAAAGAAAAGCAGCAGGUUAAUACCCCGCUGUUCUGACGGUACCAAAAGAAUAAGCACCGGCUAACUUCGU